rnacentral:rRNA from 1 species
UCAUGAAAGCUGGUUGUACUAGAAGUCACUGAGCUAACCGCAAGGAGGCAGGUGCCCAAGGUAUGACUGGUGAUUGGGUG